UUGGGGGAAAAUUAGUAUAAUAAUAUUUAAUAAAAAUAAUUUUAAUAAAAUAUAAUUAAUGGGGGUUAAAGUAUUUUAUAAAGAAAAAAUUAUUUAAUUUAUAGUAAAUUAGUAUUGUGAAAGAAAUUUGAAAUAAUUGAAAAUAAAUUAUAUUAAAAGUAAAUUUUAUUUAUUGUAUCUUGUGUAUCAGAGUUUAUUAAUAAAAAUUUUUAUGAAGAAAAAAUUCUCGAAUUUGAAAGAGUUAAUUAAUUAAAAAAUUUAUUGUAGCAAAAAUAUUUUUCAUAAUUAAUUAGAAAUGAAAUGUUAAUCGUUUUUAAAUAUAUCUAGUUUUUUUAGAAAAAAAUUUAAUUUUAAAUUAAAUUACUUAAAAAAUUAAUUAAAAAAUUUUUUAAAAUUUAAAUUUAAUAUUUUAAGGGAUAAGCUUUAAUUUAAAUAUUUAUAAUUAAUAUUAAAUUUUUUUGAAAAUUUUAAAAUUUAUAUUGUUUAAAAAUUAUAAUUUUUUAUAAAUAAUUUCAUAAAAAAUAAAAUUUAAUUUUAAAUUUAAUUUUUUAUAAAUAAAUAAAAUUUAAAAAAAUAAUUUUAGUUAUAAUGAUAAAAUUAGUAUAUAAAUUUAAUUUAAAUAAUAUUAUUAAAUAUUUUUAAAUGUAAAAUUAAUUAUAAGGAAUUCGGCAAAAAUUUAUAUUCACUUGUUUAUCAAAAACAUGUCUUUUUGAAAUAAUUUAAAGUCUAAUCUGCCCACUGAUGAAAAUUAAAGGGCUGCAGUAUUUUGACUGUACAAAGGUAGCAUAAUCAUUAGUCUCUUAAUUGGUGACUUGUAUGAAAGAUUGGAUGAAAUAUAAGCUGUCUUAUAUUUAUUUAUAGAAUUUAAUUUUUUAAUUAAAAAGUUAAAAUAAAUUUAAAAGACGAGAAGACCCUAUAGAGUUUUAUAUAUAAUUUAAUUAAAUAUUUUUAUAUAAAUUUUAAAUUAAAAUUAAUUUAUAUAUUUUGUUGGGGUGAUAGAAAAAUAAAUAUAACUUUUUUUAUAAUAUAUAUAUAUAUAUAUAUAUAUAUAUAUAUAUAUGCCAUUAAUUGAUGAAUAAAUGAUCCAUAAAUUAUGAUUAAAAGAUUAAAUUACCUUAGGGAUAACAGCGUAAUUUUUUUUUUUAGUUCAAAUAAGAAAAAAAGUUUGCGACCUCGAUGUUGGAUUAAGAUAAAAUUUAAAUGCAAAAGUUUAAAAUUUUGAUCUGUUCGAUCAUUAAAAUCUUACAUGAUCUGAGUUCAAACCGGUGUAAGCCAGGUUGGUUUCUAUCUUUAGAUAAUUGGAAUAUUUUAGUACGAAAGGAUCAAAUAUUUGAAAUAAUUUUAUUUUAAAGAAUUUUAUUAAUUUUAAAUAAAUAUUUAAAUAAA
rnacentral:rRNA from 1 species